CUGCAGCAUCUUCUGCUGUGAUGUAAGCAGACAGGAAGGCUCAUCCUAGAGGGAAGGGGAUGUUAAAUGUUGGUUGCUGAGCCAGAAACAUCUUGUUGGAGGGCUGGGUGGCAUCUGCUAUCAAGACUUCAUGACCUCUUCUGGUGAGUUCUUGCGAACAGCUAGCCCCACAUUUUCAAAUGAGAGAGCCUAACAGUACUUUCCUUCAUAUUGUAAUCUUCAUUUUGGAGUGCACCCUCCAUGCUGAAUGGCACCUGCUAUUGCGGCUCACUCCCGAACAAGGGCUGAAGCACCUCUGGGAAUGCCAUUUGGUGAUGUGUAUCUUUAGGCACCUACAUCCAUUCAAUACCUGCUUCCAAGCUCCAUUUUCAAAAGCAGCUUUCGGUAGGAUAGAUGACUGCUCUACACACAGGUUUGGUAUAGGGAUAUCCGUUCUGGGAAACAUUGAUUUUGUUUUCUAGCCAAAGUAGUCCAGCCUCCAGAGCAAGCACAUUUGCACUAGCCUAAAAGUGUCAACAAUAGCUUAUUUUCCUUUCUAAAGUAAAACUGAUCUGACAGCAUUGUAAUUGCAUGCAAAAUUGGGUGUACCCUGGUUUACCUAUCUGCACAAUAUUAGUAUGCAGACAGAGCCUUAACAGACUCUUAAGUGUCCCAGUCAUUCAUGAAAGCGAGACUUAAGAGGUACUAUAACAAAUUCACUUAAUGAAUGUAAUCACUUAAAACCUCUGGAAAAAGAAGGUAAAAUGUUUCUUAACACUGCAAGCAUCUCUUUGAAAAGCAACUUUUUAUAAGAAUGCAAUUCUGUUAAGAUAGCUGGAGCUGCCUCUCUGAGCUUUAAAAGUCAUUUUUGUGGUGCCAGCACGCUUAAAUCUUCCCUUUUAGCAGCUACUCUAGCAUUUAGUGAACCCACCUUUGUGCUUUGACUUUGCUGUAUAAAUAUCAAAGUGAUCUGAAACUCUUUCUCCUCCUUUCUCUAAUUAAAUCAGCACAACAAUUAAAAUGACCUCACUGCUUCAGGAGGACAUUGACGAAUAUGUUCUGAGCACCGCAGCCAAUAGAUGUUGAUCAGAAACCGUGAUGAUGCAUGUUAUUUGCAGAAUGCAAGAUCUGGCACAGAGUUUUGAAUCUUUUAAUAUGAAAAUAUUGCUUCAGUGCAGCAAACUGCUUGAAGGUAUUAGAAAAAUAGUAUAAUAUUUAAGUACAUUGUUCCAUAGUGUUCUUACUUCUAAACUGAAUGUUGGAUUGAAAGUCCUUUGAUUUAGCUGUUUUUAGGCCCAGAUUGCUAAUAUUGUAGUGGAUUAAAAUCAGUGUAAAUUUUUUUUACUUACAAAUUCUUAUCUCCUGCUGUUAACAGCAACUAGCCAAAUUUUAUGGGUUUUGCUAGGUUGUUUCCAAGGCAAAUUCACCAGAUCCUUCUGUUGAAUAUGGCUAUGUAAAUCAGGAUUAGCUCCAAUGAAGUCCAUUAAAUUACAUCAGUGAAAUAUUGGUGUGAGAAGAGAUUUAAGCCUUUCAAUUUCAACUGGAAUUUACACAAAUGAAGAAAGAAUAAAGACAUACAGAAACUAACCA
ensembl:lncRNA